rnacentral:rRNA from 1 species
GACGAACGCUGGCGGCGUGCCUAAUACAUGCAAGUCGAACGCUUUUGUUUUCACCGGAGCUUGCUCCACCGAAAACAAAAGAGUGGCGGACGGGUGAGUAACACGUGGGUAACCUACCCUUCAGCGGGGGAUAACACUUGGAAACAGGUGCUAAUACCGCAUAAGCGUCAGAAUCGCCUGAUUCUGACUGGAAAGACGCUUUCGGGUGUCACUGAAGGAUGGACCCGCGCUGCAUUAGCUAGUUGGUGAGGUAACGGCUCACCAAGGCCACGAUGCAUAGCCGACCUGAGAGGGUGAUCGGCCACACUGGGACUGAGACACGGCCCAGACUCCUACGGGAGGCAGCAGUAGGGAAUCUUCGGCAAUGGACGAAAGUCUGACCGAGCAACGCCGCGUGAGUGAAGAAGGUUUUCGGAUCGUAAAACUCUGUUGUUAGAGAAGAACAAGGGUGAGAGUAACUGUUCACCCCUUGACGGUAUCUAACCAGAAAGCCACGGCUAACUACGUGCCAGCCGCCGCAGUAAAAC